rnacentral:rRNA from 1 species
UACAGAGGGUGCAAGCGUUAAUCGGAAUGACUGGGCGUAAAGGGCGCGUAGGUGGCAGAUUAAGUUAGAUGUGAAAUCCCUGGGCUUAACCUAGGAACUGCAUUUGAUACUGGUCUGCUAGAGUGUUGGAGAGGUAAGUGGAAUUUCCGGUGUAGCGGUGAAAUGCGUAGAUAUCGGAAGGAACACCAGUGGCGAAGGCGGCUUACUGGCCAAACACUGACACUGAGGCGCGAAAGCGUGGGGAGCAAACAGG